AUUGAACGCUGGCGGCAGGCCUAACACAUGCAAGUCGAGCGAGCGGCGGAAGGGGGAGUAAUGUCUGGGAAACUGCCUGAUGGCGGGGGAUAACUACUGGAAACGGUAGCUAAUACCGCAUACCAUCAGAUGUGCCUAGAGGGGAUUAGCUAGUAGGUGGGGUAACGGCUCACCUAGGCGACGAUACCUAGCGGGUCUGAGAGGAUGACCAGACACACUGGAACGGGGACACGGUCCAGACGCCGACGGGAGGCAGCAGUGGGGAAUAUUGCACAAUGGGCGCAAGCCUGAUGCAGCGAUGCCGCGUGUGGGAAGAAGGCCUUCGGGUUGUAAAGCACUUGCAGCGGGGAGGCGUUACCCGCAGAAGAAGCACCGGCUAACUCCGUGCCAGCCGCCGCGGUAAUAC
rnacentral:rRNA from 1 species